AGAGGAAUGGAUAAGGAAACCGAGCAGUUGCAUACACAGUGGAACUGUCUCUUACGCAUAACGACGAACAAAGACAUGUGCUCUACGGGAAAAUGGUCCGAUCUCCGACAGAUAGCCUAUGUUAUCUCUCAUUGGUGGUUCCUACAUGCUUACCGCAGUCCACUCAGCAGACACCACACACACAUCGGCGGCGGCAGCUUGAUCCAAAGUAAACUGGGAGGUUAUGUCAGAUCUGCAAGAAGCCGCUGGUUCACCACGGGAAGUUCUUUAGCAAGUGUCUCUCUAUGAAGUCCCACAAGCCAAGAAGGCUGAAGACGCAUUCCCAGCUCAUUAAGUAGAGCACUUGGCUAGCGUGUGCAAAGGCCUGGGUAUGGUUCCCAGCACCAUACAAACCAGCCAUGGUGGGGCACUCCUGUCAUCCAGCAUCAAGAGACGGAGGUGAGAGCAUCAGCCCAGAAGUCCGAAGUGAAUAUGGGCUCCGCCUUCGGUCCACCAUUGCCUGCUCCCAGGUUGACAUUCCCAUCAGUUUCUCUGGGACUAAGAGGAACCCUGUGGCAGAAAUGGCAGGUGCCUACCGGAAAGUACUUCCUGCGCAUCUGGGGCCAACGGGUGCCAAGUCCGCUGUGAGUUCUUAGCGGGGCCUGCCAUGAAUCCUAGGGGACAGCCAGGUGUGACAGGAGCAGUCUACCUUACGUAAGCGCAAAGUGUCGGAGUCGAAUGAAGAGGACAGAGGGGGCCAGAAAGUGGGGGUCCUCCUUUAUCUGCUUCUGUUCCUCUCAUCCCUGGGCCCUGCAUACAUCUGCCUUUUGCCUCCUCUCCCUCCCCAACCUGGAAUCUAUUUUCUGCUCUAUAUGUAUACUUUGCCCCACCUCCACCCCCACAUCAUCACGCCCACCCCUCUUGGCCCUUUAUCUCUCCUCCCCAAGGCGCCCAUGACACGAAAGCAAAGUUUCUUGCUUAAUAUUUGUUUACUUGGGAACAGUGAGUUUUAUGUACACUGAUCUUAAUUAAAUUCCCAGCAAGUUUCUA